UACGAGUGCCCCGAGCGUUAUCCGGAAUCAUUGGGCGUAAAGGGUGUGUAGGUGGUAGUGUUAGUCGAUUGUUAAAACCUGGGGCUCAACCCCAGAUCCGCGAUCGAAACGGCACAACUAGAGGAUGGCAGGGAUGUAUGGAACUCAUGGAGUAGGGGUGAAAUCCGUUGAUAUCAUGGGGAACACCAAAAGCGAAGGCAGUACAUUGGGCCACUCCUGACACUGAAACACGAAAGCGUGGGUAGCGAAUGGG
rnacentral:rRNA from 1 species